AUGUCCAGCAUGAAUCCCAAAUUGAUUAUUUAUUCAAAUUACUUCUGAUUGGCGACUCUGGGGUUGGAAAGUCUUGCCUCCUUCUUAGGUUUGCAGAUGAUAACAUAUACAGAAAGCUACAUCAGCACAAUUGGUAUGGAUUUCAAAAUAAGAACUAUAGAGUUAGACGGGAAAACAAUCAAGCUUCAAAUAUGGAACACAGCAGAACAGGAAAGGUUUCGAACAGUCAUCUCCAGUUAUUACAGAGGAGCCAAUGGCAUCCUAGUGGUGUAUGAUGUGACAGAUCAGGAGUCCUUCAAUAAUAUUAAACAGUGACUGCAGAAAAUAGAUCAUUAUCCCAGUGAAAACGUCAACAAAUUGUUGGUAGGGAACAAGUGUGAUCUGACCACAGAGAAAGUAGUAGACUACACAACAGCCAAGGAAUUUGCUGAUUCCCUUGGAAUUCUGUUUUUGGAAACUAGUGCUAGGAAUGCAACAAAUGUAGAACUGUGUUCCAUGAUGAUGGCAGCUGAGAUUAAGAAGCUAAUGGGUCCUGGAGCAACAGCUGGUGGUGCUGAGAAGUCCAGUGUUAAAAUUCAGAGCACUCUGGUCAAGCAGUCAGGUGGAGGUUCCUGCUAA
rnacentral:lncRNA from 1 species